rnacentral:misc_RNA from 1 species
CCGUAGGGGCGUAACACCCCCUUCGAGAUAGCACCCUUGAUUUUCGAGUACCUUCUGUUUCUUCGGCGGGUCCGCCCGCCGAUGGACAACCCCAAACCCUUUAUUGCAAUAGCAGUACUCUGAUAAACAAACAAAAAAUCA